rnacentral:misc_RNA from 1 species
CAGCGGAGGGAUCAUUGCUGGAACGCGCCCCAGGCGCACCCAGAAACCCUUUGUGAACUUAUACCUUACUGUUGCCUCGGCGCUGGCCGGUCCUUCGGGGCCCCUCACCCUCGGGUGUUGAGACAGCCCGCCGGCGGCCAACCUAACUCUUGUUUUUACACUGAAACUCUGAGAAUAAAACAUAAAUGAAUCAAAACUUUCAACAACGGAUCUCUUGGUUCUGGCAUCGAUGAAGAACGCAGCGAAAUGCGAUAAGUAAUGUGAAUUGCAGAAUUCAGUGAAUCAUCGAAUCUUUGAACGCACAUUGCGCCCUCUGGUAUUCCGGAGGGCAUGCCUGUUCGAGCGUCAUUUCAACCCUCAAGCCUGGCUUGGUGAUGGGGCACUGCUUUUACCCAAAAGCAGGCCCUGAAAUUCAGUGGCGAGCUCGCCAGGACCCCGAGCGCAGUAGUUAAACCCUCGCUUUGGAAGGCCCUGGCGGUGCCCUGCCGUUAAACCCCCAACUUCUGAAAAUU